rnacentral:rRNA from 1 species
AUUGAACGCUGGCGGCAUGCCUUACACAUGCAAGUCGAACGGCAGCACGGGUGCUUGCACCUGGUGGCGAGUGGCGAACGGGUGAGUAAUACAUCGGGACAUGUCCUGUAGUGGGGGAUAGCCCGGCGAAAGCCGGAUUAAUACCGCAUACGAUCUACGGAUGAAAGCGGGGGACCUUCGGGCCUCGCGCUAUAGGGUUGGCCGAUGGCUGAUUAGCUAGUUGGUGGGGUAAAGGCCUACCAAGGCGACGAUCAGUAGCUGGUCUGAGAGGACGACCAGCCACACUGGGACUGAGACACGGCCCAGACUCCUACGGGAGGCAGCAGUGGGGAAUUUUGGACAAUGGGCGAAAGCCUGAUCCAGCAAUGCCGCGUGUGUGAAGAAGGCCUUCGGGUUGUAAAGCACUUUUGUCCGGAAAGAAAUCCUUGGUUCUAAUAUAGCCGGGGGAUGACGGUACCGGAAGAAUAAGCACCGGCUAACUACGUGCCAGCAGCCGCGGUAAUACGUAGGGUGCGAGCGUUAAUCGGAAUUACUGGGCGUAAAGCGUGCGCAGGCGGUUUGCUAAGACCGAUGUGAAAUCCCCGGGCUCAACCUGGGAACUGCAUUGGUGACUGGCAGGCUAGAGUAUGGCAGAGGGGGGUAGAAUUCCACGUGUAGCAGUGAAAUGCGUAGAGAUGUGGAGGAAUACCGAUGGCGAAGGCAGCCCCCUGGGCCAAUACUGGCGCUCAUGCACGAAAGCGUGGGGAGCAAAC